rnacentral:rRNA from 1 species
GACGAACGCUGGCGGCGUGCUUAACACAUGCAAGUCGAACGGAAAGGCCUUUUCGGUGGUACUCGCGUGGCGAACGGGUGAGUAACACGCGGGUGAUUUGCCCUGCACUCUGGGAUAAGCCUGGGCAACUGGGUCUAAUACCGGCUAGGUCCGCACUUCUGUGUGUGUGGUGGAAAGUUUUUUCGGGGUAGGAUGUGCCUGCGGGCUAUCAGCUUGUUUGUGGGGGUAUGGCCUACCAAGGCGGCGGCAGGUAGACGGACUGAGAGGUUGGGCGGGCACAUAGGGGCUGAGAGACGGCGCAGAGACCUACGGGGGGCAGAGGAGGGGAAAAUAGCACAAAGGGCGCGAGCCUGAUGCGGCGACGCGGCGUGGGGGAGAACGGGCUUCGGGGGGUAAACACCUUUCGCCAGGGACGAAGCGUUUGGUGACGGUACCUGGAGAAGAAGCAACGGCUAACUACGUU